GCCAACUGCCCAGCCAACUGAAGACAGUAGUGUUAAUUCAAAAGUUAGAGAUUGAUAUUCAAAUAUUUGACUGCUUUCUGAAUUAGGACAUAGGGAAAUUAAGUUGAAAAUCAGCUAGAAGCUUUCUUCUUGCUUGUGAGCUUCCACAGUACCAGCAGUGCCACGUAGGCUGCUGGAGUAGAAAGGACAGCAACAAUCUCCUGCAGAUGUGACCCCUAUGAUCUAUAGUAACAACCUGCCCGACCUAACUGUGGAUUGUCCUGCUUCUCCAUCCCAGCCUUCAGGCAAUUUGUUUUCACUAAUCAACACUAGAAUAAAGAUCGCCCUCAACCCUCAUGAAGGAAACUUCCUUUGCAGUAGAAAAAGACCACUAUAGAAAAUACCAAGCAACCACAAUGCAGUUAUCAAGCCCAAUCCUACCUGGCAAGGCUCAGGAAAGAUUGCAGAGAAUAAUAAAUGAUUCAAAGAUCAGUGACAUUCAGCCUCCAUUAGAAACAAAUGGCAGUCUUUGAACCAAUAGGACACCAAGAAGAAGGUUCAAGUUUCAACACCAGACUGUCAACUAAGGGUUAUCAUCCUAUUCCAUGGAGUCUUUUAUGAAUUCUCCAAGAACUUGUAGCCACAGAUGCCUU